GGCCAAGUGGGAGACGCGGUUAUGGUUAGCGCGUUGGACUCCGGAUCGAGCGAUCCGGGUUCGAUCCCUAGCCUAGGUCA